rnacentral:rRNA from 1 species
UACAGAGGAGCCAAGCGUUGUCCGGAUUGACUGGGCGUAAAGCGCACGCAGGCGGAUGCGCGCGUGGGGUGUGAAAUCUGGCCGCUUAACGGCCAGGCGCCAUCCCAUACGGCGCGUCUGGAGUGAUGCAGAGGUCGAUGGAAUUGCCGGUGUAGUGGUGAAAUGCGUAGAGAUCGGCAGGAACACCCAGGGGGAAACCAGUCGACUGGGCAUCUACUGACGCUGAGUGCGAGAGCGUGGGGAGCGAACCGG